rnacentral:rRNA from 1 species
GCAUAUCAAUAAGCGGAGGAAAAGAAACCAACAGGGAUUGCCCUAGUAACGGCGAGUGAAGCGGCAACAGCUCAAAUUUGAAAUCUGGCCUCGGCCCGAGUUGUAAUUUGCAGAGGAAGCUUUAGGCGCGGCACCUUCUGAGUCCCCUGGAACGGGGCGCCAUAGAGGGUGAGAGCCCCGUAUAGUUGGAUGCCUAGCCUGUGUAAAGCUCCUUCGACGAGUCGAGUAGUUUGGGAAUGCUGCUCAAAAUGGGAGGUAAAUUUCUUCUAAAGCUAAAUACCGGCCAGAGACCGAUAGCGCACAAGUAGAGUGAUCGAAAGAUGAAAAGCACUUUGAAAAGAGGGUUAAAAAGCACGUGAAAUUGUUGAAAGGGAAGCGCUUGUGACCAGACUUGCGCCGGGCUGAUCAUCCGGUGUUCUCACCGGUGCACUCGGCCCGGCACAGGCCAGCAUCGGUUCUCGCGGGGGGAUAAAGGUCCCGGGAACGUAGCUCCUCCGGGAGUGUUAUAGCCCGGGGCGUAAUGCCCUCGCGGGGACCGAGGUUCGCGCAUCUGCAAGGAUGCUGGCGUAAUGGUCAUCAGCGACCCGUCUUGAAACACGGACCAAGGAGUCAAGGUUUUGCGCGAGUGUUUGGGUGUCAAACCCGCACGCGUAAUGAAAGUGAACGUAGGUGAGAGCUUCGGCGCAUCAUCGACCGAUCCUGAUGUUUUCGGAUGGAUUUGAGUAGGAGCGUUAAGCCUUGGACCCGAAAGAUGGUGAACUAUGCUUGGAUAGGGUGAAGCCAGAGGAAACUCUGGUGGAGGCUCGCAGCGGUUCUGACGUGYAAAUCGAUCGUCAAAUCUGAGCAUGGGGGCGAAAGACUAAUCGAACCAUCUAGUAGCUGGUUACCGCCGAG